GUUGACGAAGUGACAUUCGUUGGCCCAACUGUGAAAAGUGUUUUGUAAAUUCCCUUUGAAGAUUCAAACUGAGAGAAUGGAGAAUAAACUGGAGAGUGUUUUUCUUGUGAGAAAUGUGCUUCCACAGGUCCACCACUGUCUUUGUUCCACUCUCCGUAUCCAGACCUCCAUGUCAGCUUUCCAGGAAAAGACCAUAUUCUGCCAUCUGUGACAUCACUUUAUUGUCAUAUAAAGUGUUCUUCACAAGACAUUUUGAAGAGGCCUGAUUGUUGGAGUGGGCACUUGGAAUUUGUGAAAAUCACACCUCUUUAAGAUGUUUCAAAUUAAGCCACCACAUGUCAAAGGAUGUCAAAUCAUUGUUGCUCAUAAUAAUCAUAGCUACUUAUACAGAAGAAUAACAGCAGUAAAAAUACAUGAGGAGUUUGAAUGGAGUUAAAGAAAAACAAGGGCUGAAAUUAUAAAGAUCUUCUGAAUUCUCUGUUCAGUAAUAAAACCCAUCCAAGCACUGUA